rnacentral:Y_RNA from 1 species
GGCUGGUCCGAAUGUAGUGAGUUAUCUCACUUAAUUAUUCAGUCAGUUACAGAUUGAACUCCUUGUUCUACUAGUUCCCCCCUCCUCACUACUGCAACUUGACUAGUCUUAA